AUCUUAUCCCUGUCUGUAUGUAGAGCACUUUAUGGUGCAUACUACUCUCAUAUACAAUUUAGCAUUUGGAUCAACAAUCCUCUGCUGCUAUGAGCAGGAAACAGACUUUAGGUUUUCUUCAUUUACAGGGGGUUUCAUUGAUUUCAAAAGCCAAUGAUCUCUUAUUCUACUUUUGAGAACACACUUUGUUUUCACAGUGGAAAUCAAAAGGAAAUAGGAUUCAAAUUCUGAAAGAUCAGCUGGAGACUUGCACCUGGAAUACACCUGUUUAAUGAAGUGGGGAAUCCCAAUAGUGUGUCCCCUUUUCUCACCCGAAUAUUCAGAAGGGAAUCCUGGUUUUUCAGUAUGUCUGCAUGCAUCCCUUGCACAAGUCCCUUUCUAAAACUUCACAAAGCUGUCCACCCCACAUUACAAUGCUACUAUAUAUAACGACUUCACAGAAGAGAAUAGAGGCCGGCCAUUUUUAGCAAAUUCAGGUGCCACGUAAGCCCCUUUCUGAAAGAGAGAACUUAGCUCAAUUUCCUUUGAAGAACCGGAGACUUGAAACUGAAAACUUUAUUAAUGCCAUUGCCUCCUUGUAUCAGCAGGUUCCAGAGAGAUUCCUGGAAGUUGCGCAGAUCACAUUACGAGAGUUUUUCAAUGCCAUUAUCGCAGGCAAAGAUGUUGAUCCUUCCUGGAAGAAGGCCAUAUACAAGGUCAUCUGCAAGCUGGAUAGUGAAGUCCCUGAGAUUUUCAAAUCCCCGAACUGCCUACAAGAGCUGCUUCAUGAGUAGAAAUUUCAACAACUCUUUUCGAAUGUAUGAAUAGUAGCAGUCCCCUUUGGAUGUCCAAGUUGUACGUGUCUAGAUUUUGAUUUCCUAUGGAUGUGUAUGGGAGGCAUGGAUAUGUUUUGAAAUCAGCUGGUAGCUCCUCCUCAUCAUCUUUCGCUCCUUUUCUCUUGUUUUCCAUUGCAAGGGGAUGGUUAUUUUCCUUCGGUCUUUAGUUUACUUUUGCCCGAGGCCCUUAACAUUUGGAGACUUUAAAAUAGGGUUAAUUUUCAGGGAAAAAGAAUGUUGACGUGUGGAAAAUCUCUAUUCGCAAGGAAAGGCAUUUUAAAGAUGCUUCUGCUUGAUCGAUGGUUUAUCGCAAAUGGCAGUUGGCAGAGGGAGACCCGGGACACGGCGCCGUUCCACAGACGGCGACGUGUCUCUUGUUUUUACUGCUAAGAAGGCCAGAAAACUCAAUGAAACCACUACGUAAACUUAAAUAUUUUGUUUGGUUUGAACUCCGUUAAGUCGCUUUGUGUUCCGUGUUUAAAAAUAAUGCCAGUGGCAGAUGGACAGCUCACUUUUCAAAAGUUACCCCAAAAGGCCAAAUUCCAAAAAGAAAAAUAGUCCCUGUCAAGCCUUUCCGUAAGAGAAACGGCAAGUAGCCCAAACGAGUGUACCCGUUUCUUACGGAGGCAAAGCAACUCUACACAAAACUGACUCUUUCGAGAUGAGGCUGGAAAAUUCGUACCCGCUCUUCAAAUUACCUCUCUAGAUUUUACAAUCGGUUCUUCGUAAUAAGUGAGUAUAGAUCAUUUUUCGUAGAGAAAAACCCCUUUCACAUCAUUUUCUAUUAUCUCACUUCGGGUAUUAAAAGGCACAUACGUUUCAAAUGUACUCUUUGCUCAACUCUGUUUAUAUGCUUCAACGAGUUAUUAUGUCUGUUUAAUAUUUAACACUUUUUUUUUCAAAAAAAAAAAAACCCACUAUUUUCUGAAUACCUUUCUCUAGUAAGGAAUAAAGGACAUCCCAAGUUGACCAUAAAAUUCCUGCCUACAUUAGACGCUUGUUGACAGCAGUUAGCUGACUUGAUCUUCACCUCUGAAGAGGAGCAGUGUACAGCAUUUUAAAGCAACUGAUAAAGUCUCUUCGAAUUCAGAAGCUAGUACUGACCAAAACGUGUAAACAAUGUACGGGCAGCAUAGAAGAGGUUGGGGUUAACCCAAAAGACACAGUUCCAGCACACAUAAGAAAGCUGGCUGCUAUUUUAUGCUUUCUUCAAUGGUUCUCCUCUUCUUCCUUAUUUUCUCUUUUUCCAGUUUUUCCAAAGCGUACAGUGUCCCAUACUUGCUUUUAAAAAUUCAUACGGCAUUCACGCUUGUUUUCUCAGAUGGGUUUUGUGUGCAGAUGCAGUAAGAAUUCCUUGUUCAUCCUAAUAGGCUUUUCCAGACCCCCCUCCCUCCCCUUAGGUCAUUUGAUCUACACUUAAAAUGACACAGGAACAAACCUGGUAUUUAGAUUAUACCAAACACAAAUACCGUUUUCCCUUAAUUUUCAUAAAAGUUACAUUUGACUCUGGAGAAUGCAGAUUGACCCAUGUGACUAACUAGCUGACCCAAUCGCUGUAAUUUACCAUCAUUUAUAAAUUCUGCUGAUGGACAGGAAUGUAUGGAGGCAAUUAUUGUCAGCACAAAGCCUUAAAACCUGCUGACUUUAAAUUAAAUGGCACAGUCCUAUGAUGCCCUGCAUCAUUCAGGAGGCUAACGGGCUCUCGCAGUGUGGACAGAGUGCAGCGACGCAGGCUGGAACACCACCGGCUUCUCUCUGCACCCCCAACCAAAUGCAUCGUCCAGCUUGUGCUCCCCUAUGUAGCACACACAGGGCCAGCAGAUCCAGUUUGUUCUUGUUCCGGCUUGCUUGCGGAAAAAAAAAAGUUCGGAUAAUCAUUACAUUGGAAAAAAUGCAAACCAAAAAAAAAAAAAAAAAA